rnacentral:sRNA from 1 species
AGACAAGGGGCAAAAAGUCUGUCAGGGCAUGCUCGCAUGCCAGUGACAGAUUUUGGGGACCGCAAAACAUGAGGAAGAAGCCCGAAUAGGGCGGAUUCCGAAUGUUUUUAGAAUUUCGAGAGUGCGAAGCACGGAGAAAUUCGUAGU